CGACACUCCAAACUUGACAGAAAUUGUCAAAUGGUCACUGAAUCAAAUCUUUCCAUAAUCUAUCAAAUCAUUCCAUAAACUGGAUCAAAUCUUUCCAUAAACUGACACGCCUUCUCUUCAACCGCAUCAAUUUGUCACCAACUAAAGACUAACAGUUGUAUGAAGUUAACAAAUGUAGUCAAUAAUUAACCAUCAAUAUAAAACAAACCAGUAUAAAAUACACUAAUAUUAUGUAGUAACCAUGGUAAUAUUACACAGUAAAUAAGUCAGCAUUAUAUACUAACCAAAUCCAAAUUAGACAGUAACCAACAUAUAUUUACUUAGUAUCGAUAACAUAAAACAUAUUUGACAUGCAUUUUAUAGCAAAAACAAACAAUAUAAAAAAUAUCAAUAUUAUAAAAAACAUCAAUAUGUACUUAAAGAUCCAACAGUUGCAGGAAGAUAACCAAUGUAUUUUAUAAGUAACCACUAAUAUAAAAAAUAUCAGUAAAAUAUACAUUUAAUGUAUAUAGCAACCAAAUAAACAUUAUACAGUAACCAAAUCAAUAAUAAACAGUAACCAAUUUCUAUGUUCUUAGUAACCAGAAUAUAAAAUAUAUUUUUACAUUCAUUUUGCAAUCAAAACAGUCAGUAUACUGACUUUGUGACCAAUCAAAGAGCAAAAAACUUAAGAAAUGUAAUCAAUAUACGAGUAUAUAGUAACCAUGUGGUAACCAAAUAAACAUUAUACAGUAACCAAAUCAAUAAUAAAUAUUAACCAAUUUAUAUGUACUUAGUAACCAGAAUAUAAAAUAGUAACCAAGACAACAUUAGACAAUAAUCAAGACAUCAUUAGAUAGUAACCAAGACAACAUUAGACAGUAACCAAGACAUCAUUAGACAAUAUAAUGUUAUACAGUAACCAAGACAACAUUAGAGAGUAACCAACAAUUGCAGGAAGGUAACCUUUGAUGAGUAACCAUUAAUAUAAAAAAAUCAGGAGAACUCAUUUAAAAAUUAUAAAGCCAUCAAAUAAACAUUAUUUAGCAAACAAAUACACAAUAAACAGUAACCAAUUUAUAUCUAUUUAGUAACCAUAAUAUAAAGUGUAUAAAAUAUAUCAAUGAAUCAACCAAUCGUUAUAGGAAUUUGUAGUAACCAUUUUAAAUGUGAAAAACUUAAGAAAGGUUAUCAAUAUAGGAAUUCGUAAAAAACAUAAGUAACUAUAUGCAUAUGAAUUUUAAACUCACAUACCUCAGUAUUCAGAUUUGUAUAGAAGUUGCUGCUAUUUUGUUACUGAACUUCAACAAUCACUGCAGUACGAUUGUUUUUGGUUACUGAACUUGAAGUUGAUGUUGAUU
rnacentral:lncRNA from 1 species